rnacentral:lncRNA from 1 species
AGAUUGUGACAAAGCAACUGAACAGCAUUAGUGCUUUCUUAUUGUCAAAGAAUCGUGUGCUCUCUCGCCAGUUGUCCCUGGCAACAGAGUCACGCUUCCACAUGCUCUGUAGCUUCGUGUGCUCUCUCGCUAGUUGUCCCUGGCAACAGAGUCACGCUUCCACAUGCUCUGUAGCUGCUAAUUGUUGGAGAGUUUUGUAAUUGAAUGGCACAAACUAUUUUUAAUGGUGCUUCUGUUCAUUUGAAGAGGAAAGGAGGCAGAAGCAGUGUGGUGAAAAAGAAAGCAUUCUCUGAACCCAGUUCUCAGGAUGGGGUGGAAAGUGACAACAUCAGGAAUAUAAGGAGUAUAAUGACUCCUCGCCUACCGCCUCAUCAGGAAGAGAUCAUUGGCCGGAAUCCAGAGAAGAAAGAGAGUGAAAACCUUAUCAAGAAACGUCUUCGUCCUAUGACCGCGAAAUAAGCUGGAAGGAAAUGUAUUUUUAUUUAAAUGUUUUUUUUUUUUUUUGUAUUUUAAAUCAAACCAGUUUUUCAAAUAUUUUUUAUUUUAAUCUGAUGCACUUUUCAUUUACAAUAUCUAUAAAUUCUCUUUUUACUUUUUAUCAAAUAUGGCACAUAAUAUAUUAUCCUGGAAAUGAACUAACGCUACCGCUGAUUUUAAUGGCAAGUUGAGAUGAUGGACAGUUUCAUAAGCUCAUGUAUGGAAGAAUGGACAAAUUUUUGCUGCUUGAGUUAGAAUGGAAGUUCAGAAAUCACUACUGCACAUUUUUGACAUAGGGUUUCCUAUUGCUGUAUACUUAAACCACGUUAUUUGUUUACAUUGUGCUUAUGCUGCCCUGCAUGUAAAAGCAAAACUAUUGUUUCCCCCUAACCACUUUAUACUUUUCAAGAUAUAAAAAUGUACACACACAAAAUAUAGCACAAAGUAAAAGUUCAAGGGUUUUUGUGAUUUUAAUUUUUCAUCCCACUUGUCAACCUUCUUUUGUUUAUGUAUGUAUCACCCUGUCACAAACCAUUAAUAUGUGCCAUUCACAUGAUAAAGGCUCUCCAUUACCCCGUCAGUAAAACUGUGUGCCAGAUGCCUAAUGACACCCAAAGGAUUAUUUGUUUGAAAUACUGAACAAAUGCUUAUGUAACAGACGGGUAAUUGAAUUUCCCGAUCGCAGCACGUGGCCCCGUGCCCUUAUCUAAGAUGGCAUAAAAGGAGAGAGGGGAAGGGUGAGGAACUGGGAACAGGUCUAUGUUGUUGUUGGCUCUGAAUGACAGGAUGUGAACGGGGCUGCUUGCAAUGAUGAAUCACGGUUUUGAUGGUGUCAAAAGUGUGGGAGCAUGUGGAGAAGACAAAAUAGAGGAGUGAAAACCGACUGUGUGAGUAGGAGGAAUAAGGAGAGAUGAAGAGGAGGAAAAAAACAUACAAAAUGAACCAUGUGCAGCCCAGCUGUGCUUGUGCAGGUCAUUGAAGUGCAAUUUUCCUUUGAUUUCAUAAUUGUGAAUGUUAGAAAUGGGGUGUGAAAAACUUCAUAAACAGUCUGUUUUCUUUACAUGCCUUUAUGUAUGUUUCCUUCCGGUCUACUUCUGCACGCGUGCAUGAUGUACAUAUAGAUGUUUAUGUGCUUCCUAGUUAAUGUAGGGUCAUGACAGACCGUAAUCAUGAAUUAUAUGUCACUGUUGUUUUUUUGUUUUGUUAGCGCAAAGUGAGUCAUUGUCCGUGUCAUUUGAUUGCGUCACUUAAUUGACGCAUUGACACACAAAGUCUAGUCAUUUUAUUUUGUUUUCCUAAUUUCUUUUUAUCUCAUUCCUCUGCAUGCAGAAAAUGACGGGGAGGCAUGUAAGCAUCAGCUUGAUUCGUAGCAUCCAGGCCUGGUAAACAAUGCAGUAAUAAUCAUCUGUAGCUAUAAUUUAGGGCAGAAUAUUACCACAUCAUUUGAAAUGAUAAAUAGGCAGAGUGCAGCGCUAUCUUUCCUGUCACUCUGUCAUGUGCUGAAGAGACGGAAGAAUCGAGAGCCUGUGGGGAUGGGUCUAAUUGCUUGGCCUCAUCAGGAGAUGCACUUUAAAUAGGUUUUAGACAAAGUAGUGAGUUCAUCGAGAGGAAUGCUGGGUGAAGACUUCAACUUUGUGUAUCUGAUUGCUUUAAUCCAACCAAUUUGUUCAGACUAAGAAAAUUGAUGCUUGUGCCAUCUUGCCCUAUUUGUGCCAGGGUGAGGAUGAGUGACUAUAAUUUAUACUGUUCAAAUGAAGUGUGAAACAUCUUGGUUGUACAUGCAUGCUGAAACAAUAAAAAUCGGUG